GCCGGCAUUGGGAGAAGCUAUCCGCGCUUUUACCGCAAGCGGCGGCAAGGUUCUGGCCACGGGUCGCUCGGGUUUGGAUCCAGACGGCAGCGCC
rnacentral:tRNA from 1 species